rnacentral:misc_RNA from 1 species
AUCUCAUAUUUCAGAUUCCCCUGAAUAAUAUAAAUUGAUCUACUCUUCAUAGACAAACUUGGGAUUGUCUCCUAAGUGUUGGUAGCUCUAGUAUAGAUCUGCUGGCUGGCAUGAGGAGAUAUCAUCCUAAUAGAUCCUCGUGCCAUGAGAUCCUUGAUUGCUCGCCUUGCAAGUGAGCCACUAAUCCUUAAUCUGUCGGACAAGAUGGAUGGUGUCACAAGCUUAUACUUGGGAACCUCGCUGAGAAGCUUGUCAUAAGUUGCUUGAUCAAACAAAACCAUGUUGUUCACCUUCUCCUU